UUCGUUGAUCUGGAUCAGUGUCUUAUGUCUUGCGCGGCCGGUCUCCGUGCAGGCUUGACUUGGAUCAAUGAAUACGCCCGUGGCCCUGAUAACGUGCAGUCAUCCCCAACAACCCAGCAGGGUUACCGCAGGAGGCAGCCAUGUUUGUCGAUGUCGUAGUUCUCGCCGGGAUCGGCACCGUCGGUUUGAUGGUCGCUUUCUUCGCAGGCGUUGGUUAUUUCAUCUGGAAAGACUCACACAAGCGCAAGGCGCCCUGAGUCUUUCCGGAAUCACGGGCACGCAAGGCAAUUUGGGCGACUUAGGUCGCCCUUU
rnacentral:misc_RNA from 1 species